AUUAUACUCCCUCUGUCCAGAAUUACUUCUCGCAGAAAUGGAUUUUUCUAGACGUAUUUUAGUUCAAGAUAUAUUAAUUUUUAUCCAUUUCCACGACAAGUAAUUUGGGACGGAGAGAGUAUAUG
rnacentral:pre_miRNA from 1 species